AACCUAUGAUGAGGACACUAUCUUAAUAAACGUUUGUAUCUAUCUUAUGCUUCAAAUAGUUAUUCUCUAUCUGCCUGAGGAAAAUUUGCAAUACAAUUCCUCAUGUA